rnacentral:rRNA from 1 species
CCUACGGGUGGCAGCAGUGGGGAAUAUUGCACAAUGGGGGAAACCCUGAUGCAGCAACGCCGCGUGAGUGAUGAAGUAUUUCGGUAUGUAAAGCUCUAUCAGCAGGGAAGAAAAUGACGGUUACUAACAAAUAAGCCCCCGCUAACCUCGUGCCAGCCGCCGCGGUAAUACGGAGGGGGCAAGCGUUACUCGGAUUUACUGGGCGUAAAGGGCGCGUAGACGGGAGGGCAAGUCAGAAGUGAAAUCCCAUGGCUUAACCAUGGAACUGCAUUUGAAACUGUUAAUCUAGAGUACGGGAGAGGUAAGAGGAAUUCCUAGUGUAGCGGUAAAAUGCGUAGAGAUUAGGAGGAAUACUAGUGGCGAAGGCGACUUACUGGACCGUAACUGACGUUGAGGCGCGAAAGCGUGGGGAGCAAACAGGAUUAGAUACCCCAGUAGUC